GACUUGGUGGCGCAACGGUAGCGCGUCAGAUUCCAACUAAUCACUUUCGACCUUCGCAGGACUCGAAGGUGCGGUUGCCAUCUGUAGGUUGCAGGUUCGAAUCCUGUCCGGGUCG